GAGCAAAAUCCCUCAUACUCCUUUGAUUUACUGCUGCCAUCCCUGCUGGUUGAGUUGUGGAGUUUUGAGUCUCUUCCAAAACUUCUGUACUUGCUUCAAGGCUAUCGUCACUAAAUGACCGAUCUUCUUCUUCCUCCAGAUUUGCUAACAAUUCCCGUGUUUGGUGUAUAUAAUCAAUUUCAGGAGUCAACUUCCUUUUAAGGCUUCGUCGACCCUGCAUAAAAAUC
rnacentral:lncRNA from 1 species